AGCCAGCGAUUUCUACUUCUUUCCACUGGGUUCUGGGCUGGGUGGGAAGUGGGGCACCAGGAAUGUCCACAGGCCUGUGUAUUCAUCUACCUGCCUUCACUUCUCAACCAAAGCCUGACCGUGUCCUGCGCAGCCACACCGGACGCCAAGGAUGAUGCGGACAGGAUGCACCAGGGUCACGGCCAAGGAGCUUUUCAAGGCAGAUGAUGCAGCCAUCUCUGUUGGGUAAGAAAACAGAAGCUAUAAAAGCAGCCUGAGCAGGCGUCCGUCCAGCGUGUCUUAAAAGGAAAGCACUCACAGGACAGUCCGCUGAAUCAUCGCCCAACUGCAAACCAAAAUACUCCUUCUCGGUCACACCCAAGCGGCUGUAUGCCAUGUCCAGAAGGACCUGGCCGGCGUCUUGUUUCUGCAAAGAAGAAGUACUGAUAAUCUUCAGCCACCAAGCUGCAGAGGCUACCAUGACACCAUCCUGACUCCCCUGGGCAGACGACCUUACCAGUGUGUCCUGGAGCCUCCCCUCCCCAGAGCCCUGCCCCACUAGGGACAGACAGAGACAGGCUGGGGGUGUGAAUCCACCUGCCAACACCCAUGUCCAGUGGAGAAGCAAUGACAGAAGCCAGAACUCCCACCUUCUGCUCCCCAUAAAGAAUUUGGGUCCAGACUCCCAGAGGGAUAAAGAACAGGGAAGCUUCCAAUGGAGGGGAU